rnacentral:rRNA from 1 species
AUGAGAAUAGAACCAGUGCACUGGGCAAGGGCAUAUUUUGCAGUUGGUUCCAACUGUGAGUCAGUGGAUAACAACUUGUGUGAAUCAUUCAAUCAUGCAAUUGUGGAUGUAAGGUUUUAUCCAUUAAUUUCCAUGCUAGAGAAAAUAAGGAAGAAAAUAUUUGCUAGAAUUCAAGAUCAGAGGGCCAAAGGUGUGAAGUUUCAUGGAAAAAUAUGCCCUAGCAUAUUCAGAAAGUUGAAAGCAAGCAUAGCGAGAACACAGUUCAUGGAGGUCCUUUGGAAUGGCAAAGAUGGGUUUGAAGUGAGACUGGUAACUGGGAGAAGAAGGCAAUACACUGUAAGUCUUGAAAAAAGAACUUGUUCUUGUGGUUAUUUCCAACUUUCAGGUCUUCCUCGUUCUCAUGCCAUAACAGCAAUAUACAAGUGUGGGAAACAAGUGGAAGAUUACAUUUAUCCUUGCUAUAGCAUUGACACAUUCAUGAGCAUUUAUUAG